GUCAUUUUGUGUCCCUGCAUCUAUUUUUAGUCGUAAAAGUAAAGGGAAGCACUCAUGUCUGCAAUAUCAGAGAUUCCUGACAUCACUUUGGUUAAGCUGCUAAGUCAACUAUAGGGGUCAUGAGUAGACUUUGCGUCGCUUUAAAGGGGCACAAUCCAAAAUGGUUUGGAACCACUGCUCUAUCGCCUUUUACAUGAUCUUAAUAUCACUUGUUAUAAAAGGAUGGUGGUUCAAUCAGAGGGCAACAUCUUUUACAUGUUCUGCUUUUGCUGUUGCUCAAAACCUGAAAAUGUCAAACCACCAGAGGGCAGUGCAGCUGCAGUUUCCUGUUCCUUUGGAUUCAGUGUAACUUCCCUUGAAAGCAGCUGCUGUUGCACUAGAUACCCUGAAGGGGUCGCUGGUGUGUCUUCAUCUGAUUUGGGAGUUUUUGGGUGCGAUGCAUCUCCUCUCCUGUUAACAAGACAAAUUGUAUUCUCAUGCAAAUCCAGUUCCCAAGUUUCUAGUGAUUGUGGAGAUAAAAAACAAGACAAGUGACAUGAAAACUGCAAUGGAUAUGUGUCUGAUUAACAUUUGAUUUUUGCUGCCUGCUGCAUUUUAUAGCCUACUGUUUUAGCUUUGAUUUCAUUUACCGGCAGAUUUAAUAAAAAUUGUGUGUUUACUCAUGAAGAAAAGCCAGGUUGGAUUAAUGGACAUUGGCCUUGUUUUCACUGCUGCUUAAAAGAAAUGUACUCAGUGCAACUGCUGUGGAACAGUUGAUUCCUGAACCGUAUUUUAACUCUAUAUCAGUGUAACUAUAUGGUCUCCUGGGGUAUCUCAAAUAAUGUGCAAUGCAGCUUCAGUAUAUGGAGAAGUUUUCCAAAUCCUAACAACUGAUUUGAGUUUCACAACAGUUGCAAAAGAGGACAGUGAAACCUCAGCCACUGAGUAGACCACUUCACAUGCUUUAUUUCAGCACCCAAAAUAAUUAAAAACAUCUCAAUUUAUUAUACAUGUACAAAAUAAGUACAGAAUCUCUCUUUUAAACCAUGAAAGUGGGUCUGCUUCAAAUUCUUUUUUAAGAAACCCUUCGCGAAAGACAUCAACAAACAACAUAAACAACAAGGUGGGAGAUGUGUGCUGUUUUUUUUUUUUAGUGAAGAGGAGUUUUCCACAGGGGGGCGGGGAAACAGACAGAGGGAUCAACACUGGACAAAUGUGCAGGGAAAUGAUAUUGAACCAGAGUCACUUGCUUUUUUUUUUUAUCUACAAAGACAUGAUUGCAUGCAUUACAUCUGCAGUGAUCACGUUUUCAGAACACUUAAGAAGAAAACCAUUGCACUGCAUAGACAACAAGACAAUGAGUCAAUUUAGUAGCACCAAAGGUUCUGCAGGCAUUAGUGGCAAUAAUUACAGUAUGACCGUGAGAGUUUCACCAUCAAACACCAAUAACUGGUCCUUGUUGAAAUGGCAAUAGCACCUUUGAAUGUUUUUGAUUUCCCCACACUAAACUUGUGUAAAAUAUACCCUUUCUCAUUUAAGAAAAAAAAAUGUCUUGACUUCUUGUUAUGAGGUAGCCAUCUACAUAUUGCAAUGAAGGUGAGCUUCUUUGUUUUUGCUCUUUCUCUGAUCUUUGUCGGAGCAACAUUCAGGUGUUUUUUUUUUCUUUCAAGAAUUUAGAACAAGAAGACGCUUUUCACACUUUUUACAAUUUAUUUAACACCAGAAAAAUGGUACACAUCACUUGUUGUUUUCAAUGUCCUUCCGCAGUGGUA